AAGAGUCGAGCCUGCCCGGUGAUAGUAUUUAACGGCCGCGGUACUCUGACCGUGCAAAGGUAGCAUAAUCAUUUGCCUUAUAAUUGAAGGCUGGUAUGAAAGGUUUAACGAAAGCUAAGCUGUCUUUUAUUGAAUGAAAUGAAAUUGACCUCCAAGUGCAAAGGCUUGUAUUUAACUAAAAGACAAGAAGACCCUAUUGAGCUUUAAAAAUUUAAGGAAAGUAAAUGAUAUUAGGGUAAGAUUUUAAUUUUUCUAAACUUUUUAGUUGGGGCGACUUUGGAACAAUAAUAACUUCCUAAUAUUAAAGAAUACUUUUAAGUUUUGAUCCAAAAAGUUUUGAUUAAUAGAAUUAGUUACCAUAGGGAUAACAGCAUAAUCUUUCUUAAGAGCUCUAAUCGAAAGAAGGGAUUGUGACCUCGAUGUUGGACUAGAAUAUCCCAAAGGUGCAGAAGUUUUUGAGGGUUGGUCUGUUCG
rnacentral:rRNA from 1 species